AGAGUUUGAUCCUGGCUCAGGACGAACGCUGGCGGCGUGCUUAACACAUGCAAGUCGAACGAGACGAUUGAAAGCUUGCUUUUGAAAGUCGAGUGGCAAACGGGUGAGUAACGCGUAGACAACCUGCCGUAAAGAUGGGGACAACAGUCCGAAAGGACUGCUAAUACCGAAUGUUGUAAAUCUUCCACAUGGAAGACUUACUAAAGGUGGCCUCUACUUGUAAGCUAUCGCUUUACGAUGGGUCUGCGUCUGAUUAGCUGGUUGGUGGGGUAACGGCCUACCAAGGCGACGAUCAGUAGCCGGUCUGAGAGGAUGAACGGCCACAUUGGAACUGAGACACGGUCCAGACUCCUACGGGAGGCAGCAGUGGGGAAUAUUGCACAAUGGGGGAAACCCUGAUGCAGCCACGCCGCGUGGAGGAAGAAGGUCUUCGGAUUGUAAACUCCUGUUGUUGAGGAAGAUAAUGACGGUACUCAACAAGGAAGUGACGGCUAACUACGUGCCAGCAGCCGCGGUAAAACGUAGGUCACAAGCGUUGUCCGGAAUUACUGGGUGUAAAGGGAGCGCAGGCGGGCGAUCAAGUUGGAAGUGAAAUCCAUGGGCUCAACCCAUGAACUGCUUUCAAAACUGAUUGUCUUGAGUAGUGCAGAGGUAGGCGGAAUUCCCGGUGUAGCGGUGGAAUGCGUAGAUAUCGGGAGGAACACCAGUGGCGAAGGCGGCCUACUGGGCACCAACUGACGCUGAGGCUCGAAAGUGUGGGUAGCAAACAGGAUUAGAUACCCUGGUAGUCCACACCGUAAACGAUGAUUACUAGGUGUUGGAGGAUUGACCCUUUCAGUGCCGCAGUUAACACAAUAAGUAAUCCACCUGGGGAGUACGACCGCAAGGUUGAAACUCAAAGGAAUUGACGGGGGCCCGCACAAGCAGUGGAGUAUGUGGUUUAAUUCGACGCAACGCGAAGAACCUUACCAAGUCUUGACAUCCUGCGACGAUGCUAGAAAUAGUAUUUUCCUUCGGGACGCAGAGACAGGUGGUGCAUGGUUGUCGUCAGCUCGUGUCGUGAGAUGUUGGGUUAAGUCCCGCAACGAGCGCAACCCUUAUGGUCAGUUACUACGCAAGAGGACUCUGGCCAGACUGCCGUUGACAAAACGGAGGAAGGUGGGGAUGACGUCAAAUCAUCAUGCCCUUUAUGACUUGGGCUACACACGUACUACAAUGGCGUUAAACAAAGAGAAGCAAGACCGCGAGGUGGAGCAAAACUCAGAAACAACGUCCCAGUUCGGACUGCAGGCUGCAACUCGCCUGCACGAAGUCGGAAUUGCUAGUAAUCGCAGAUCAGCAUGCUGCGGUGAAUACGUUCCCGGGCCUUGUACACACCGCCCGUCACACCAUGAGAGCCGGGGGGACCCGAAGUCGGUAGUCUAACCGCAAGGAGGACGCCGCCGAAGGUAAAACUGGUGAUUGGGGUGAAGUCGUAACAAGGUA
rnacentral:rRNA from 1 species